GGAGUGGUAGUUCAGUUGGUUAGAAUACCGGCCUGUCACGUCGGGGGUCGCGGGUUCGAGUCCCGUCCACUCCGCCA
rnacentral:tRNA from 18 species